rnacentral:pre_miRNA from 1 species
GUACCAUGAAAACAGUUGCAGUUUUUUUCUUUUCUGUCCCUGCUACACAGGAAGUGUAGCAGGGACAGAAAAGAAAAAACUGCAGCUGAAAUA